rnacentral:rRNA from 1 species
AUUUUUGGUCACAGUUCAAAAUGUUCCCUUGUCAGUAAAAAACAAUGAUUACCGGAAUGCCUUUUAUUUCCAGUGCCAAUUCGAUAUUUAUUUUGGUACCAUUCGAUUGAGGACUAUUGACUUCCUAUUACAAAGUGAUAUCCGUUUUCUUGCAAAAUGAUUGAGCCGAGUUAUGGCCGAUCAUACUUUGAGUCUGGAGUUAAGGGGAUUUUGAUUUUGGAUUUUUCAUGCUCAAAAAAACUACCAGAAAACUUUUACUAGGUUAGGGGAUUGAGUCACGACGGUAAGUCUCGGAGCCAUAUUUUGGGCCAAAUAGGUACAGCCAAAUUACCCCUACAAGUUACAAUACCCCGAAUAAUAUAUUUGAAACGAUCGGAGUUUACCUCGAAACUAAGGGGUAAACUCCGAUUGUUUGAUUGGCCAUACUUCAACGCAGCCAUUUGUAAUAAAACGGCAUAUCACUUCGCAAUAUGAAGCCGAAGGUCAUCUAUCGAAUGGUACCAAAAAAUAUAUCAAAUUUACACGUAAAGUAAACAAUGUUCCCAUGUUAGUUAAUAAUAACCCAAAAAUUUAAAAUUAAACUUGCAAAAAAUACCACCAACAGCAGCACAGACAGCAAUUGGGGUUGCACAAAUACAGUAAGGAGCAAUUCAAGUUUUCUCACACCUCUAUCUAAAUUUAAAAGCAAAAAUUAAAAAAUAAUUUUUAAAUACAAAACACAAUUUAAACCCCAGAAAAAUUUUUAUUUUGCUUGAAGAUUGUAGAACUUUUUAAAUAAACUAAACUCAAAUCACACAACUUAGACUAUAAAUUUUAGCAUAUCCCACAAUCAUGUGACCAUAGAUUAAGCGCCGCAUUCUAAAAGCUAUGUAGCAUGUAUAGAUCGAAAUUUUUGAAAAGCCUGGGCCGGUUAAUGGUUCCGGGUUUGAUUUGUUUUACCUGGGCUUUUAGUCCAGGUAAACAAAUCAAGAAAGUCAAAAAAUGCCUGGGCCUGGACUCUGGGUUACAGGAAAAACCCAGGCCUUUGUGCAGACCCAGCUCGAUCUCUAGUAGCAUGUAACCUAGAACUCACAGAAAAGGGUAAAUGCUUGAGCCGGAUUCGAAAUAAAAAGCAGGGAACCUCAACGGAUGAUGGAUUGCUAUAAUUGCCUCUACUGGUCAGAACAUAGGAUAUCCCAACCGGUCUCCCAACCCAAUCGGAGAAAGGAAAAAAAUUUCAAUAAAAUCUAGAUAAGGCAGUUUAACCUUUUGAAAACCCAAAAUCCAAAUUUUAAACUAAACCUUGUUGAUCGUCCAUUAUUCAUACAGGUUAGAAAAGCAUAGCCAUAAUUCAAAUCCAACUUUUGAACAUAAUUAAAGAAAUUGAAGAAUCAAAAUAAAAUGUAUCUGAAAAAAAAUAAAAUUAAUUUAAAAAAUAAUGUGAAAGAAGUAAAAAUCUUAGGAAUGAAACAGAGAUAAUCGAAAAUGUCAAGUAAAAAGGGAAGCCAUUUUAAAUUUGAAUAAAAAGGACGGUAUCUCUCUCUUUCUCUAAUUCCCUUACUAUUUCGUUUUUAAGUUGGGAUAGGACACUUUGUCGCGGUCUCUUUCUCUAAUUCCCUUACUAUUUCGUUUUUAAGUUGGGAUAGGACACUUUGUCGCGGUUUUCCUUUUCGCCCACUUUGUCGCAGUGAUAAAAAAUCGGUUUUUUUAACUAUUUUUUCAAAAAACAUUCAAAACUAAAAUUAUUGAGCAAGCGGAGUGAGGUGUUUUUCUAAUUAGUUGACCGACCUCAAACAAGUAGGGAUUUUUUUACUUGGAUUUUGUUUUUAAGGUAAACAAGAUCGAAAAAUUUAACCAGCGUCAGAGGGGGAUGUACUAGUUUAGAUUCAAUUCAGAAUUUUUACUUGAGGGUUACGCAAAACCAAUUUGGCGGAUUUACAUUGUUUUUUAAGGUAACAGGGGACAUAUAAGUAAAAAUUAGAAUUAACAGGCUAAUUUUCAGGGGAAAAAUCUAAACUGGCAAUCAAGUUGAAAAGAGCGGUUAGGGGAAAAUGUAUAUAAAAUGUUGCCUUCAGACACAAACGUUUUUAUAAUCUGUUUGAGAAUUAAUCCCUGUCUUUAUGAACAUGAUUUUGUACUAGAGAAAAGAGUGCGUGCCCUUCUCAUUAUAUUCCGAAAAAUUAAAUUGACUGCCCCAAUAAGUGCCUAAUAAAUUUAGAAUAUUAAUGCGCAUGUUAAAGCGCCAAGUCAUUACACACCAAAACGUAGGAGCCAAAUCGUUAAUUUUCAGAAAUAUAUUCAAGGACGGGUCGGGUUUAAAAAGAAUUUGGAUAGGUUCGAUGUUUUCAGCCAGUUAUUUUCGUUUUUUAGUGCCUAGAGGAAAAUUUUUGUAAGGCCCAGAUUUCUUUUACAGAAAUUUACGUUAGUCGGGUUUCGGAUCGUGUUUCCAUCGAUAUUUUUCGAGUAGGCUUCGGAUAAACCGACCCAUCCUUGAUACAUGUCUAAGGGGGGCAAAACCCCU